rnacentral:lncRNA from 1 species
GUGUCCGGAGAGGCCAACGCUUUCAUUAGCCAGCAGGAAUGGGCUGGGGCGCGUUUGUAGUUGGGAAUCCUGAGCCCGGGCUGUUGCUUGGAGGACUCGGGAGCAGCAGUGGAUUUCGGCGUUACCAGGAGAGGUCUCGAGCACCAGAUCCCUCUUCCUUCACUUCCCAGUAGUGGGUUCUAGCCGUUCCCAGCGCCUUCAUUUCCAGAAGGCGAUUUUACCCAGAGAAAGGAGAGGGAAGAUUUGCUCUACCUUUGGCUUCUUAUCAAAUAGCUAAAUCACGUGGGAAGCUGGUAAACAAAAACAAAAAUGAAUGAAACAAACAACUAAACAGCUUGCCGGGCCCCUCCAAGGCCCACCGAACCAGCCCCUCGAGGCAGCCACCGGGAAUUUUCAUAAGCUCUUCUGAUGAGCGGGAGGAUAAGUCAGUCAGGGCUGGAAACUCCCGGAUCAGAGCAAACCCAGCUCCUCAGCACCUGAGGAGAAGACGCGUAGUCAAUAUGGUUUGAAAUAAUGUGUAAAUGAAUAUAUGAAUGAAGAGCUGUCUUCAAACGUGGAAGGAAAAGUUAACAGUUUGAUAAAAAGCCAUAUUGACAAACCUGGGAAAAUGGGCUGUUGGUUGAUUUGGGUGUAAAUUCCUAUAACGUUUUUCUUCUUUCUUUUCUUCUUUACUCCUCCUCUCCCUCCUCCUCCCCUACCCCUCCUUUCCCCUCCUCCUCCUCUUUCUCUUUCUUCUUCUCUUCUUUUUUUUUGAGACAGGAUCUCACUGUCGCCCAGGAUGGAGUGCAGUGGCAUGAUCUCUGCUCACUGCAACCUUGAACUCUGGGGCUCAAGCGAUCCUCCCGAGUAGCCGGGAUUACAGGCACAUGUCACCACGCCAG